GACGAACCGUCCAAACGUUAUUCGGAAUCACUGGGCUUAAAGGGUGCGUAGGCGGCGCGGAAAGUUGGGUGUGAAAUCCCUCGGCUCAACCGAGGAACUGCGCCCAAAAACUGCCGUGCUCGAGGGAGAUAGAGGUGAGCGGAACUUAGGGUGGAGCGGUGAAAUGCGUUGAUAUCCUAAGGAACACCGGUGGCGAAAGCGGCUCACUGGAUCUCUUCUGACGCUGAGGCACGAAAGCUAGGGUAGCGAACGGG
rnacentral:rRNA from 1 species